rnacentral:lncRNA from 10 species
AUCUUCCCCACCAAGUUAGAACCUGUGUCAUGUUCCUCUGAACUGUGUUUGUCCCCUUCGGGGGACCCCACAUGCUACGGACACCUGAUGAUUCGACCUGUUCACCAUCCCUUCAGCCCUGAACUGGCAACAGUAUCCUCAUUAUUCAUGAGAAAACGAUUCCUCCUCCCUUCCCAGACCAUGAGGAUUGAGUGGAAUUCACUCCAUCCUUCUCAGCUCCCUGACUGAACCAGCCCCUGUGGGAAGAGAAAGCCCCCAGGCUGAGAAUCAACUGAGCUGCAUUGAGGAGCCCCAGGUGUGUGUCCAGGAAUGCCAAGUGCAGAAGGGCUAUGCACGGGGCACCAUCAUGACCUGCUGCAGAGACCGUCCCUGAGAACAGAGGAGCAGAGAGAGAGAAGAGCAAGAGAUGGGCAAGGACAGAGUCACAAUCCCAGUGUCUGGCCCCUGCCUCCGGCCUUGUCUCAGCUAGCUCUGUCACUGGACUUUCAUUUGUCUGGGACCAAUAUCUCUCUUCCUUCCUAAAGAUGACUGCAGACUGGUUUCUGCCCUGUGUAAUGAAAAGAUCAUGAUGUGCACAGCUUUUUACCCCAUCUUAAGAAUAUUUGAGCACUUAUCUCCAUAGAGGGCAGAAUCUGUAAUGAAUUUACUUUUCAGUCCUCCAUAACACCUGUCGCAAGGUUUGUACAGUUUUCAAGAAAUACUGGGUAGAUGAAUGAAUGGAUACUGAAAAGACCCACUAAAAUUUAAUGCAAAUCUGUAACAACAGAUGCCCAUUUAAGGCACAUGGCAGAGGGCAAGGUGGCAUAGGGAGAAAGCAGUUGGAGCAGAUUCAUCCUGGCAGUGGCACCCUGUGAGGAGGGGUACUGGCAGGUCCCACUGGGGCUCCCAAGUGAAAAAGUGCCAGUGUUAGUUCCUGCUACCAAGAAACCUAGAGCUUCUCUGGUUCUAGUUUUUUCCAAAGGCUCAUUUUCCAGCUUUUCCUUCCAUUCUGAGAGCUAUACCAUAGCUUCCAUUAAUUCUUUAUUGUUUGUUAAUUUGGCCUAAUACUGUGACUCAGUCUCUGUCACUUGCCACCCUAGAACCCUAGCCAGCACAGAAAUGACGGAGUGAAACCACCUCCACACAAACCAGUGCUGCUUCCUCUCUUCACAGUUGCAGAUUCUGUCUCUAGUGGCAGCAUUAAGGGAGAUUGUGUCAUCAAGCCUGCUUUGCUCUAAGAUGCUGACUUUAACAGAUUAGAAAUGUUCCCGGCACAGCCCACGCUUCUGCUAAUAAAUGAUUCCAUAUCUAUCAUGAAUGAAUUUCAAGUCUUCCAUUACUGGGCUGUGUACCUACUCACGAAGUACAUUUCCAGGCGAUUUUGUCUGAAUUACAUGGUUAAUUGCCUCAUAUUUUCAGCUCAUGUUACAGGCCUUCUGAGUUAGAAUGAGAGAGAGAAAUACCAUGUAUCACUUCCUACACAGGGGACAAAUUCACGGAUAGAGCCAGGCACGUGGAAAACGGCUUCAUUACAUAUAUUAAUGAUGAAUGCUAAUUUGUUCCUAGCUUCCAAGUAUAAGUAAGUUAAAAAGAGCCAGAAAAGGAGGGUGAGGGGUAGGAAAGUCAGCCAGUUAGCCAGAUGUUUUUACUUCCAAAUUUUAUACUAAUUCAUUCAGUAAUUUGUUCCUCAAAACCUGCACAUGUGCAAGGUUCUCUGCUAGGAAUGUUGGAAGGUAAAUUCAGAGAGGUGACCUCAAAUAUCAUUCUAACUGAAGUUGUGGUAUGUGUAACCCAUUUAAAAA